rnacentral:rRNA from 1 species
CAGCAGCCGCGGGAAUACGUAGGGUGCAAGCGUUAAUCGGAAUUACUGGGCGUAAAGCGUGCGCAGGCGGUGUUGUAAGACUGAUGUGAAAUCCCCGGGCUCAACCUGGGAACUGCAUUGGUGACUGCAACGCUGGAGUGCGGCAGAGGGGGAUGGAAUUCCGCGUGUAGCAGUGAAAUGCGUAGAUAUGCGGAGGAACACCGAUGGCGAAGGCAAUCCCCUGGGCCUGCACUGACGCCCAUGCACGAAAGCGUGGGGAGCAAACAGGAUUAGAUACCCCCGUAGUCCCUGUCUCUUAUAA